AAAACAUUAAAAAAUUAAAAAAGAAAAAAGAAAAAUGAAACCUGUGUUCAGGUCCCCCAGAGCAGAGGGAUUUUAAAGAGAUGCUCCUGCCCGUGUAUCCCAUUUUGCAAAAUUUCAGCUUCCCCUGGAAGAGGGCUCCCUGCCUUGGAUUCUGGAGGCCCUGGUAUUCUUACCUCCUGAGGAUACCAGCUCUCUGCAUAUUGUUGGACAUGGAACCUGGGCGGUGAGCUCACAGGAUGGUAGGAUGGAAGUAGAGGCCCCAGAUGUUAUGUGCAAGUGGGUGAUGAAAAGUGUGUAGGAGGUGGGGACCGGCUACAGGGCGGGUUGGUGUUCAGAUUUGUGGGCUGCCACUCAAAUUAUGACAUCACAGAAGGAUGGGACAAGUUGCAAAUCCAGGAGCAUGAACAUGGCUUUUCCUCUGCUUAGUUCCCCAUGUAGCCGGCAGAAAUUCUCUUAAACACAAGAUGGAGCAAAGCUGAGGAGUGGGGGGCAGGGGAGACCCCCUGUAAUAGCUCACAUUUUCAGCACCUUUUGUGUGCUCAACACUGGGGUAGGCAGUGGACAUGUAUUACUUUCCUUAACCCUCUCAGUAUGCGACGCAGUAGGUCAUAGUACUCGUCCCAUUUUACAGAUGUGAAAGUGAGACUCAUAGAGGUUAAGUAACUUGCCCAGAGUCAUCCAGGUCAGAUUCAACGAUCAGGAUUUAUCUCGGGCCUGAUUUAAGUCCAUGUCUCUGCAUUCUUCACCCAUGCUGCUUCACUGCAUGUUUGCUGAGGAGCCGGACCUGCCAGAGUAAUACAAAUGGAAAGAGGUGACCUACCUUCCUAAAGGCGUUUUCUGAAGUGAUUUUUAAAGCUAUGUGACACAGGUGACAGAGACUUCACUGUGGUCACCUCGCUGCGUAAAACCAUUUUCUACCUCUGGCCCUUCUGCAAACCAGAGGUCAUCUGGAAUCGGACACCUCUUAAACUUCAUGCUUCACAAAAGCCCGGGAGAGGCAUUUUGGAACUGAAUGCAGUGGCGUCAUGUCUGGAAGACUGGAGCCUGGACCAGGCUGGGACUCAGAGGCAGUGCAGGGCCCCAGAGCAGAGAAUCCUGGGAGCUGAAGCCAUUUUGGAUUAUGGCCUUGGCCCAGGUGGACUUAGUGUCUUGGGCAGGCUUAGCUUCCGUGAGCCCUGUAUCGUUUUCUGGAAAAAAAAUCAGACCCAUAUUUCUCAUCUCACCAGGUAAUUGGGAAGGUCAAGUGAUAUAGUAUAUGCAAAGGAACUUUAUAAACUAUAAAGUGCUCUAAAAAUAAAAGGUGUUAUAUGUGAA